rnacentral:rRNA from 1 species
UACGUAGGGUCCGAGCGUUGUCCGGAAUUAUUGGGCGUAAAGGGCUCGUAGGCGGUUUGUCGCGUCGGGAGUGAAAACCAUGAGCUUAACUCAUGGCUUGCUUUCGAUACGGGCAGACUAGAGGCAUGCAGGGGAGAACGGAAUUCCUGGUGUAGCGGUGAAAUGCGCAGAUAUCAGGAGGAACACCGGUGGCGAAGGCGGGUCUCUGGGCCGAUACUGACGCUGAGGAGCGAAAGCGUGGGGAGCGAACAGG